CAUGGUUGUCGUCAGGUUUGUGUCGUGAGAUGUUGGGUCAAGUCCCGCAACGAGCGCAACCUUUGCCUUUAGUAGCCAGCAUGUAGAGGUGGGCACUCUAGGGGGACUGCCGGGGACAACCCGGAGGAAGGCGGGGACGACGUCAAAUCAUCAUGCCCCUUAUGGCCAGGGCUACACACGUGCUACAAUGGCGCGCACAGAGGGAGGCGAGGCGGCGACGCCGAGCGAAGCCCGGAAAGCGCGCCCCAGUUCGGAUUGCAGCCUGCAACUCGGCUGCAUGAAGCCGGAAUCGCUAGUAAUCGCGGAUCAGAACGCCGCGGUGAAUACGUUCCCGGGUCUUGUACACACCGCCCGUCACACCAUGGGAGUCGGGAACGCCCGAAGUCGGUGCCCCAACCGGAAGGAGGGAGCCGCCGAAGGCGGGCCCGGCGACUGGGGUGAAGUCGUAACAAGGUAACCGU
rnacentral:rRNA from 1 species